rnacentral:rRNA from 1 species
CCUACGGGUGGCAGCAGUGGGGAAUAUUGGACAAUGGGGGGAACCCUGAUCCAGCGACGCCGCGUGAGUGAAGAAGUAUUUCGGUAUGUAAAGCUCUAUCAGCAGGGAAGAAAAUGACGGUACCUGACUAAGAAGCCCCGGCUAACUACGUGCCAGCAGCCGCGGUAAUACGUAGGGGGCAAGCGUUAUCCGGAUUUACUGGGUGGAAAGGGAGCGUAGACGGGGCAGCAAGUCUGCUGUGAAAGGUCGGGGCCCAACCCCGGGACUGCAUUGGAAACUGUUGAACUGGAGUGCAGGAGAGGUAAGCGGAAUUCCUAGUGUAGCGGUGAAAUGCGUAGAUAUUAGGAGGAACACCAGUGGCGAAGGCGGCUUACUGGACUGUAACUGACGUUGAGGCUCGAAAGCGUGGGGAGCAAACAGGAUUAGAUACCCGAGUAGUC